AGUGGGAUAGCUGGGUCAAAUGGUGGUUCCGUUUCAACUUUUUUUAAAAGAAUCUUCAUUGUAUUUUACAGAUUGGUUGCACCAAUUUGCAGUUCCACCAGCAAU
rnacentral:pre_miRNA from 1 species